UCUGAUUUGUGCUUGAGAACCACUGGCCUAAGCUAAAAGUGAGUUUAGGAUAGGAGUGAUCCAGAGGUAGUUUGGGAAGGGGCCAUCACAUCCGUCCCACCUAGAGGCCAAAACCAGGCCUAGGGUGAGAAGUACUCAAUACUGAAAGCCUGAGAGGACAGGAGAAUCCCUGGGUAUGGACUUAUCUCCAUUCUGAGCAUGUAACACAGAAAGAAGGUCAACCUUUUAUCCACGUUCUAUCCAACACAAGAUCAGGAGCUGCUAGCAGCCUCAGCGCCCUAUGUGGUGCCAGGAAAACAGGUGAAGCCUCCUCUCUAGCUUAGGAUGGAGUCAGGAGUGUCAAGAGGAUCUGAAGUUGAGACAAGAAGGACUCAGUCUGAGGAUCUUGGGGGUGGAAAGUUCGCAGAAUGGAUCACCCGGAGAAAAAGAGAGAAAGAGAGAGGAUUCUGAAAGAUUGUUUCGAUUUCAUCAUAUUUAUGAUCCAUAUCCUUGCUAAGAACUACUUUUGGCCAAACGUGAACUUGUACGAUUGAUUUUCUACUCAGAUGCUUCGAAUUCCAGAGAUCCAGUGAUCCUCGUAGCUCCUUUGGGAUAUUCAGUAUGGGAGGAACCCAUGAUUUCCAGCUGCAACAUGCAUGGAAGAGCUUUACAGUCGUCACUCUCACCCUUAAAACAAGGAAAAGCGGAACAAAUAGAAAAUCAAUGGCUUUUAUUGAAUCCAUCAAAUCACUGAGAUCAUAGGGCAAAUUGGCACCCUGAAAUUCAGAGAGACACGCAAAUCAGGAGAGUCACAGUGAAGAACUGCUUGCUGGGAGCAGGAGCCACAUGAACCAUAAACGUGUAGGAGACUUACCUGGUGAUUUUGAUGAACUGCUGGAAGCUCAGUGUGGACUAGCUUGACAAGAGGAAAAUCCUGGUGACUGUAGGCUUCACAAGGGCCCCAUGUUUUUCAAGUCCACUACGUUUCCAAGACUUGGAGACAAGGUUCUUCGGGUCAGCACAGAGGCAAUGGUACAUGCAGUGAGUAGCAGGUCUCAGCAUGGAUUUCUUCACAAGCAUCUCCAGUACAGGCCUGGACAAUCUUCUUCAGAUGAGCAACAAGAUCCUCUGGUUCUUAAUCAUCAAUAUACUCAAAUGGUUCUGGAGGUUCUGGCUCUUGUUCUUCUUCCUCGAUUUUUGGGCCAUGGGCUGUUCUUCAAUGUCUUCACUGGUAUCCUUCAGGAUAAUGAUGCCUCCAAUGGAAAAUGGUUUGAAAGGCUGGUAUCUACAGGUCUCUGGCAUGGUCAGGACCUUAAGCUGGGCAGGCAUAACUCGGGCUGGAUUAUCCAAUAACUGGAAGUUUGGCUCAGGUUCUUUUUUCUUCUCUUUUUCUUCCUUUUUCUCUGCUUCAUCCACUUCCAUUUUCUCCU